rnacentral:rRNA from 1 species
UACGUAGGGUGCGAGCGUUGUCCGGAAUUAUUGGGCGUAAAGAGCUUGUAGGCGGUCUGUCGCGUCUGAUGUGAAAAUCCGGGGCUCAACCCCGGACGUGCAGUGGGUACGGGCAGACUAGAGUGUGGUAGGGGAGACUGGAAUUCCUGGUGUAGCGGUGAAAUGCGCAGAUAUCAGGAGGAACACCGGUGGCGAAGGCGGCUAUCUGGACAGAGUCUGACGCUGAGGCGCGAAAGCUAGGGGAGCAAACAGG